GUGGCGCAGAAUCAGGCUACUGGGAAUUUCUUGACAAAAACAAAUUGCCAGGAAAAAAUCUUAAAAUAAAUUCGCAAAAUAUGUUUAAAGACUAAUAACAAAAAAACAAUAACAAAGGUCUUUUUAUGCUGAAAAAUAUUUUUGAAGUAUAUUACAGCAUAUUGUGGUGAUCAAUGGGGGGUCGCUAGCCGUAGCAAUAUCUUCUCUGUUGACAACACGUAGUAAUGCAGUGGAUUACACAGGUGGAUGACUUUGUCCGUGUGUGUGUCAGACAGAUGAACUAUUGUGUCAACAGCCUGUCUGGACAACCUUAACACCGUAGACAGCAGCUACUAACAAAUGCUGGGUGGGCGAAAGGACCGCUCUGCCACAUUUUUCUUCUGAGUAUCUGCUGUAACAUCCUCUCUUAUUUUUAGUUUCAUAAACAUCGUGUUCUCAAACCACUCCUUACGUCCAUCUGUUCUCUCUCUCCCUCUGUUUCUCUCUCUCUCUCUCUCUUACACACACACACAAGAGACAUCUCAUGUCUCUUGCUCACAAAUUGUAACCCAUUAGCAUAGUCUGAUCAAAGAGUUCAGGUAUGUUCAACUCCCCUGCUGUGCCUUAACCCAUUUAAGUGCUCUGGAUUUCAACAACUGCAACAGAGCCCAGAGCAGGAAAAGUUUCCAUGAAUGGACUUUACUUAAUGAAGAAUGAAAGUCUGCAGCAUCUGUGGGUUAAGAUAAGACCAACCCUCUUUAAACUAUUAAUGACACAUGGAAACUGGACAGAUGUCUCCUACCCUGGGACAAAAAUUAGAGAUUGAUUUUAUUUAUUUUUUAUUACAGAUGGUUGAGUUCUCAUGGAUGCAUUAUUCAAUCAAGUUUACUUUACUCUCUGUAUUGUUCAUGUGGUGGAGCAAAAUAUUUGAAAGCAAUUUUGAUAAAAACAACUAGGGAAAAAUGAAUGGGAGGCUGUAGGAGCAGUUGAAGGGGAGGGAGUUUAAGGAGGAAAAGUGAACGGUGGAUAAUUGGUCCUUCAUGCGGAAAAGAAUCCUGAGACACCCCACCUCUAAACCACACCACGUGACAUACCAUCUCCUCCUGCCCAGGCACAUCUUUACAUCCAGCUCAUUAAACAGCAUUAAGAUGAGAUACAUCAACAAUAGACACAUUGACAGAUGCAAAAAUGACUUUUAUGUGCCUGCUUUAUUUCAGAUUUUCUCACUGCUAACGCCUACUCUUGAGUCAGAGUGACUUUAAUUAAGCCCUGAGGUUACACAUAAUCAGUAAGAUUAGAAAAUUAUGAUUCUAAAAAAAAAGUUUCUAGUAUAUACAAUAUUCAGAAAUGACUCGUUAUAAUCCUCUCUUUUUUGAGGAUCUGCGCUGAUACAGUAGUUUUUCAUGCAACCUUUCUGUUUCUGCAGAGUUGAUUCCUGCAGUCUGUGCAUUUGAUCCCUGACAUCUACACAGAGACAGCAGCAGCAAUUCCACUUCCCCCUCCUUCCUUCUUAGUAUACACCCACCUGGCUGCCAACACACCUGCUCUGUCCCUCAAUAGCUAAAUGAAUAAACUCCUCUCGCCAGAGUCAACACCCAGCCUGACUUUUUGGCGGACCCUGAGCAGAGCCGAGGCUACUCCCAAAAGAGGAAGCAGGGCGGAGUCUGAAGAUGUGGGAGUAGACCCUGCAGUGUUUGCCCUGCAUCCUGUGACUGAGGCUGUACUUUGGGUCUAAACACACGGCCCAGGGACCGGUGGAACCUUCUGGAACUGUUUCCUGACCAUACAGUGAUGAACACAAGACCUAGGAAUGAGGGAACGACUUUCACUGGCCCAGGGCUGCAGGUCUAUGUGCCACCGAGGAACCUGCCAUCACAAACACAGAACGACACUUAAAAGUCCUCAGACGUCCUUGUCCCCGAGCUGCACUUGACAUGUUUUUCCUGCCGACUCCCUGAAAAGCUCAGCUGUCCACCUUUUGCAUCAGCUUGGUGCAGGUUGGGGCAGGACUACUGAUCAGAGACAGAUGCGGGGGGACAGCAGACUGAGCCUCCAGUGUGUUUAGUGCAGCAGAGCGAGGCCGGGCUUUUCUGUGUGUCCUGAUGCAGCUGGGUGUGGUGUGCAUCUGAGCCUCAGUGUGAGAAAAGAGGUGUGAGCUGCAAGGCCAAGCAUGAAUAAUCCCCAGAGGCGAGGAGGAUGGCUCGGUGAACAAGCGAUGACUGGAUAAAAUAAGAGACGGACGUCUGACAGAACAAUGAUGACAGGUGAGGAGAGGUGGGAGCAAGUGUGAAAGACUCAAAAACACCGUCAGAGAAACUGAAUAUUGCUGUGACGUCAGCGCCUAUAAAUUGAUUGAUGCCAAGAAUAAACAGAGCCAAUACAUAACAAUCGAUGAUAGUAGGACACGGUGCAAAAGGUGUUAAAAAAGAGUUUCAUCAGUGUAUCGGAUAUCAGGGAGGAACCUUCCACAGGUGAGCUGGAUUUGGAAACUUACAUAAAAGAAAAAGCAAUUUUGUCAGCCAAAGUUUCUGGUAUAUUGCCAGUGUAGCUUCUCUUUGGCAGGCUUCUUCUUGUGUCUAUUUUGAGCCACGAGGGAAAAGAGAAGCUGAUGUUUGAUUAAGCCGCAGGUUGUUGAUUUGUAGUUUACCCUUGCAGAGUAUAAAAGCAGUGAAUGUUCUUAGGAACAUUUUACAUGAAAUGCCUUAAUUUGGAUGAUUUGCCUCUGUAGCGUAGAACCACUACUCGCUCUAGCAAUGAAAGAUUCAGUUGAUUAAGAUACAUUCAAAAUUCUCCUUUAUCACAAUUUAACAAUAUUACUCACUAAAUUCUAUGAUUGAUAUUACUCUGAGAGACUGGUGGUCAGGACAGACCCUGCUGUCUCUGCUUCCCACAAUCAUCUCUAUUCCCUCACCCCCUCAGCCAAUCCCAGCUCCUUGAGAGAAGAGGCUCAGAGUGGGAAUAACAGAAUUAAAGUAGAGGAUUACCAUGAUCUCUUUUUAAUAAGGACACUAAUCUCUGAAGAAGUUUAACACUUGCUCUCGAAGAAGGCGGACGCUUUUCCCCUUGCUCCCUUCCUCCCCCAAGGGGACCCCUUGUCAAUUAUUUGUAUUGUUUUUAUUGUCUAUUCACGUUUUUUUCUUGGAACGGGUCGUACAAAACUAAAUUUCGUAUCACCUUCCCUGGUGCAUAUGACAAUAAAGAGAUUCUGAUUCUGAUUCUGAUAACGUCAGUCUCCAAAGCAGAGUGAUGCCAUAAAAGGAAGUCUGUAAGGAAGCGGAGGUGAUUAGUGGUGGUGGAUAGUGGUGGAAGGAGAGGUUCUCCUCCUCAGGUCUCCUUAAGUCUAAACUGUACUGUGUAGAAAGUAGUUAUUGUCUGAAUACGACUGUAGAAGAUGUUCAUUUGCUAUCACAUUGAUCUUUCAUAAAAAUAAAAGGAACCCGUGGGUCAUUUUGACUGUCAUCCAGCUCCAAGCAAAGCCAACAGUCGCUCUAAUAUCUGUCCUCUGUCUUGUCCUGGUACGCACCGUUCACUGAAAUCUUAGUAGAACUAUCUGUCACCUUGGAAACACACUUUUCUUCCUGUCACAUCAUGCAUGUGAGUGAACAUACAUGAAGGCAAAUUCAGAUGUUUUUAUUCACCGCAGUUUACAUGAAAAGCACCCUGAUGUAGAUCGACGAUGCUGAAGGCACUCUGUCGUCUGAUUUUUAUCUCAUCCUGUCAUGGUUGGGCCCUCGUGCUCCUCAGAAGACAGAUGGGCUGUUAUUAAAGGCACGCAGUUAAAAUCGGCUGCUCAUCUAUGCGGGCGUCUUCCUGGACUAUAUCCCAGAUCUGAGAUCUGUGUCUAACGUGUCUCACUGGCGACAAGAGAAGGAUCUUGUUGAGUGCCAUAUGAUGCUCACGUCCUGUGACUCAGACAAACAAAAGAGACAACGACGUAAACAGAAACAAGUGUUGAAUUUGUUUUUCUUAUAACAUCAAAUUCAUGACAGUCACCCAUGGUGUGGCCUGUGCUGAAAUGAUCACUAUUAAUUAAAUCAUAGGAAUAGUACUAGUUUUUCAGUGAAAUGUUCUGCUUCUCAUUUAUUGAUUCUGAGCAGUAUCUCUCCAUGUGUUUGACAUUCUAAUGAUCACUGGGUGUUAUCUAUCACAUUGAUAUAAUACUUAGUGAGUUUGAGAUUGAAGCAGAAAACUGUCUUUUCACACUGAGACAGGUUGUGGUUUUUAAAAAGCAAGUAUUUUUGGUCUGCAUGAGGUUUUGCAAGAGGAAGUUCAGCUUUAAGGGAUUGUGAUAAAAACAACGGAGGCGGGCCGUCCCAUUUCUGAGGUCAGUGCGUUCAUUCAUAUCAACUGGUGGGAGGUUUAGCCUUACCAUCGUG